AAACACACCAAAAGACCAACAAUAACGCUUCGUUCUUCCUCCUGGUCCUGGAGCAGCGUUUCAGAGCUUGCUCCCGUCAGACUCUUGAGCGGCGGCCGGAGCCGGCUACUCCGGCGGAAAUCGCCUCCCGAGUUGCCUGAUCGGCUCCCUGAACGAGAGUGGUCAGAAUCAUCUUUUCCCACUCCUGCCGUCUAUUUUCCCGACUACUCUACGUGCGCUUUCUCUCUCUGCGCAACUAGGUGACCGCGACCGCGGCCACCGCCCUACGUCACGUACGUGCUUGCUAGAGUCUAGCCUCGUCGGUUCCUUCGCAUGGUCUCGUUCAGGCGGACCCUUCGCCGGCGACCAACACCCACCAGCUUACACGGUAUACAUGAAUGUUGAUUUGCAGCAAUUUACUGGAAGUGUGGAACCACUUCUGAUGCUGUCUUUGUAAAUAUUGAUGGAGCUAGCUGAGUAGAAAUGGACUGCAGUCAAGAUCCCCAAGAAGAAAGCCAUCAAAGAAGGGAGAAUGGUGAAGAAGCAGAAAAGACGGCUGACUAUGGAAAUGCUUUGAGUCGUAAGGAGGUAACAGAAGAGCUUCUUGGUUGUGUGGUUCAUAGUGAGGAAGAGGCGUACAGGUUGUACUGUGAUUAUGGGCAUCGAAUCGGUUUUAGCGUGCGGAAGGGCAAACAGUCUUACUUUAUUGGUACCAAGAAUAUUCGAACAAAGGAUUACUACUGCUCAAAGGAAGGGCUUAAAUACGAUGAGCCUGUUACAGAAGCAAAUUUUAAUCGACCAGACACAAGAACUAAUUGCAAAGCAAUGAUCCGCUUUAGAGUUGACGAGAAGGGGCGGUGGACAGUUAUACGCUUUGUUCCUGUACAUAAUCACCAGUUGGCAAAACCUGGAGAAAGACACAUGCUGAGAUCAGCCAAAUCGCUUGCUGUUGGCAAAUCAGGUGUUAUAGAUCCAUUAGCAUCUACAGAGGCACAUCCAAUUAAUGGUUUCUCUGAUAUGACAGGUGAUAUAGUUGAGAAUUCAGGGUAUACUAUAAGGGAAUGUUACAAUCAAGUGGGCAUGCAGAGUAUAACAGUAAUUGAGGCAGGGGAUAGCCAAAGUCUUGUCAGCUAUUUCAAGCAUAAAACUAAUGAGGAAGGCAUGUUCUAUUGGGACGUCCAAGUUGAUCAAGAAGGGCGCAUGACGAACUUCUUCUACAGGGAUGGUAAAAGUAGAAAUGAUUAUGGCUGCUUUGGAGAUGCCAUUAUAUUUGAUACAACCUACCGCACAAACAAAUAUAACUUGAUAUGCGCCCCAUUUGUUGGUGUUGACCACCAUUGGCAAAAUGUUGUUUUUGGCUGCGCGUUCUUGUUAGACGAGUCUGUAACUUCCUAUGCCUGGGUAUUUAAAUCAUUCUUGGAGUCAAUGGGAGGGCGAUCACCAAAAUCAAUAUUCACUGAUCAGGAUGAAGCUAUUAUGCAGGCAGUCAAACAGGUUUUCCCUAAUACGCAACAUUGUUUUUCCUACUGGCAUAUUCUGAAGAAUGCUCAAUCUCAUUUAGGCUCACUAAAUACGUCUCAAGCAUUUCAAAGUAUGUUUACCAAGUGUAUGCAAGGAUCUGACUCAGAAGAGGAUUUUAAGGAAUCAUGGACUGCAAUGAUCCAGGAAUACAAGCUACAGGAUAAUAAUUGGUUGAUUGACCUUUAUACAUUCCAUCAUAAAUGGUGCUCGGCGUUUAACAAAGAUACAUUUGAUGGUGGAAUUAAUUCUUCUCAGUGGGGGGAGGUUUCAAGUAAUAUUCUCAAUGGAAUUUCUGAUGAAAAUACCUCUCUUACACGUUUUGCCCUUUUGCUAGAAAAGGUUGUCAAGGAUCUACGUAGAAAUGAAUCUGAAGAGGAUUUUCGAUGUAGCCAAACUGCUCCAGUCCGUGCAAUUAAGCAUAGUACCGUUUUGAAGCAAGCUGCAGAAUCAUAUACACAUAGGAUCUAUAAAUUAUUUGAAGCAGAAUUUCUGGAUGGGUGUGGAGCAACUUCAUGCCAUGAAACUUCGAGUGGUGGAAAUUUAUUGAGGUUUGGAAUUACAAUGCAGGGGAGGGGUUCAAAAGUAUGGGAUGUUGUUCUUGACACUUCCACCAUGGAGAUCAGUUGUGGUUGUAGAAAGUUUGAAAGGAUGGGUCUUCUUUGUUCGCAUGCCCUCAAAGUCUUCACCCUGCAGAAUGUUGACACAAUUCCAGAAAAGUAUGUUUUGAAACGCUGGACAAAAGAUGCCAGGAGAAGCAUGUAUACACUUGCUCAGGAUGAUUCAACCCAACAGGAAUGCACAGAGGCUGAACUUGCAUAUCGCAAUCGGGCAAUGCAGUAUGCAUAUAACCUAAUUAUAAAGAGCCAGGAACUGGAAGAAUCACGAAAAAUAUUCUGGGACUCCCUUGAAACUGGAGAGAAGGCACUGGAAGUGUUCUUUGAAAUGAGAAACAUGCGCACUCAAGCAGCCAAGGAUGCUGAUAAGAAUGUAAAGAAGAAGAAAAAAACAUCAAAAGGAACAAACCCAAAAAAAGCUAAACAAGCCCCAGGAGUUUCCUCAACUGGUCCAGAGCUGAUAGUCCAUACUAAUGAGCAUCAAUUUCAAUCUUCACAAGAUGCUCAGGGUAAUGCAACCAUUGGAAGACCAUAUUACUAUCAGGCUUUUCCAAAUGCCCCUAUACAACCAAACCAGAUGUACAUGCAUACAAAUAUGCACACAAUGCCCCUUUGCACACCGCAGUCAUUGGCCUUUGUACAUGCCACCUUCUAAUUCUGUAAUAGCUCAUUUUCAAGCGGUGAUGGUAGCCAUGGUUUAAACUUGAUGGUUGGAUGUCACCCCAAAGUGCGUUGUCUCGCACAUGAGGAACAAUGAAAAACUUGGGAAAAUCAUGUCUGAUGGAUCCUUUGGUGUGACUUGAAGUUGAGGAAAUCCAUAUACAUGGCCACAAAGGCCAACCAACAGAAAGCAGCAGCAACACCCUUCACACAAUGUAACACAAUGGCAGUGGCCAGUGGGGUUCUGGGAGACAUACAACAACAUAGUGUUAACUCUGAACUGAACUGAAUCAAAUUGAUGCCCUGAACUCUAGAAAUCGCAGCCGCUGAGCUCUGAACUUCUGAAGCAAGUUGGUGAGGGAAAGCCCCACAUUAUAUCGCGCUCUACCCAAAUAGCAGACUCCUUUUAUUUGCUUUUUAGCUUAUAACAUAAUAUGUUAAACUCCAAGAAAUAAUGGACUUGUGGCUCAUGAAAAAAAGUGCUUCAGUUGGUAUACUGGUUCAAGAAGGGUAGGCCUAUUGGAGUGGUGAGAGCUGUCUCACUAGUCACCAGGUCACUGAGUCACUAGGUCGCAGGUUCGAAGCAACCCCUCAGCAUUUGCGGAGGGGAGGCUUGCCUCAGUUUAUACAUUUCCCAGACAUCACUUAUGUGGGAGCCUCCUUCACUGGGUCUGCCCAUUUGGUAGAUUGGUUUAGAGGUAUUCUUUUGGAGAAGUUAUUGAGGACCUGAGUUGCUCAUGUCACUGAUGGAAAGUUUAAUGCAUGAUCCACUGUUGGCAAGACCCUGAGAAAUAACAGAACCAAACAAAGAUGCAGACACACAUGAACUGUAGCAAAAAUAUGGAUAUGGUGUUUAGCUAUGCAUUUUGGACAUAGGUGCAACAAAAAUGUUAUGCUUUCUGAACUUUUUUUUCUCGAAUGACGUAGGAGAGCUGCCUAUCUUUUCAUUAAGAUAGGGGAAAACAAAAGGAAACAACAAGGGAGAGGCACGAGGCACACUCUCAGCCACCCCCGGACAAAAUCCAACUUACACACCCACACUGAUGCCUAAAAUUAAAUAAUAUGACCACAACCAUGAGUCCAUGACCAAGGAAGACUAACUGCACUCAAAGGGGGAGCAACUGAAGGAGGCGCAGAGGUUACUGCUAAGCACCAAAGGCUGCUCAGUACUCACCGCCUGGAGAACCACUUCUCAAACACACAUGCAUUUUUAUGCUUCCAUACUUCCAAGUUCCAAACAAGAGCUGUCUGCAUAUGCUGCAAUACGCCCCAAUUCAAUGUUUGGUGGUGCCAAGAACAUCUGAAGGAUAUUAAGGUCCAGAUUCAUGUGGAUGUCAUUGGAAAACCUUAUUGAGACUUUCGCUAUCAACUCCGCUUUGAUCUCUGUGGACCCAUUUAUGGAGGCCUGGUGGCACUUCAUGUUUGGUUGGUUCAGGGGCUCUUCGUUCUGAUCUUUAGGGAAGCGGUUAUUCUGGCUGUUGCAGUGCAGGCUGUGCAGCCCCUUAUCCAUAUAGCAGUGGCCAGUGGCUUGCUAUUAAUAUCACUCACAGGCAAUUUUAGGGUUGUAAACUGUAAGGUAGGAGGUAGUGAGAGUAGGUGGUCAUUCUACAGAUCCAGAAUCCAGUUGCAUACUAUACUGAUAUAGGGAUUGAUUUGCUUGUGCUAAAGGCCUCAAUCCGCUGUGGGCGUGAGUUUCUCCCCUUCCAAGGCAGUUUCCUGCAUGGGUUCAGCUUGAGUUGAGCUGCUGAGUUGUGAACGAGGAAGCAACCAAAGCAACUGGGAGCCUGGGAGAGUGGGAGUGGAGGAGCUGGCUGCCGGCACUGGCCGAGGAACUACUCAGUCCAAGACGUGUGUCGAUCUGAAGUGACGCUGACGGCUGACCUAUCACCUAUGUUUUGGGGUAUGGUUUCUCUUCUGAUUUAUGUUGCAUACAAGUUUAUAUAAUGUAAUAUGUAUUUUACUCCUGGUCGACGAGACGAAGAGACGAUUAAUGGACAGAUUCUAGGAAAUUCAAAUAUGAUUUUUUUGGAAGCGGUUCUGGUUAGGUUAGCACAUGUUGAACUGAUGAUGAUUGAUGGCACCACUAGAGGGGCUCAGGGCCGGCAACAGCCAUGGCCGGGCAGGUCUCCACACAGUGGCCACUGGAGCUAGAACUGGACCUGGAACGGCGCCCCACCUGCCAAACGGCAAUGCUGAUGACCGCUUGACAGCUGCUUCCGAUGGGCUGGCCACCUCCCACUGCCCACAUAUGAAAGGGAACCUGGAACUGUGUUUGCUCGGCAACCAGCACUGGUUUGGGGAAACAGAAAGGGUACAUAAUUGUAGAUUGAGAGAAAAAUUAGAGGAUGCAGCUGUUGCUUGGGUUCAGUGGUGAAGGAAGCAGCUAGCAGCUUCUUGGGUUCAUUCAAGAGAGAUUGGAGAAGGGGGAAGGAUUGGAAAUGUUGCUUCUGAUUCGCUUGAACUCUGAAUUUCUGAUUGUUUCCUUGUUCACAGAAUGUAGUGUCAUGCAUAACCUGGGUUGCCACGCCUUGUUUCUGAGGCGUGACAUGUGACUGUCGUGAUGGUGUUUUUGAAAUUUCGGUUGGUAAGAAAUGCUGAAAGAAGAAAUGGCGUCAUUACGUUCGUUGCAUUGCUUUGCCUAUUUUGCGUGUUUAAUGGAAUAUGAUUGUUGUAUGGCACUUCACUCUGAAUGUGAGUUGUUUUAUGCUGA